UUCUUAGAAGUACUUGUCGGUAGUCACUCAUUGCGUAAAUACGUCGUUACUAGAUCUCCUUCAUGAAAAAUCUUUGAUCUUUGACCCUUGUCAGCUGCUGUCUUAUAUUUGGCAUAAGAGUUUUCAAGAUGCUGACAAACUUCCUCUUGGGUCGAUGUCACUCGUUCUGCUAAGUACUCCGUUUCUAUAAUUCCUGUGUAAUAUAAGACACGGUUCACUUUUGUAAUUCCUGGAUGACUUGUUCCCGUAAAGAACUCCUUGGAAUGCACAGUUGGUUCCCUUGGAAUAGGUACCCUUCUUGAAUAUGCAUCUCGGGAAUCAGUUGUUCGAUAUUGCAACGUCUCCAAGCUUCUCCAAAGUCGUCAUUUGUCUCAUAUAAUUGCUUUAGGCACGCGAAUCCCGCCACUUCAGCUUUUGUGGCAAUCAACAUUGUAGCUCGGCGGCUCAAAGCGUUAGCUACCCAAUUCAGUUUUCCCCACUUGUAUUUUAUGGAAAACGUGAACCAUUGAAUGUAAGAAACCCACUGGGCAUGCAUCCAAUUCAAAUUUUUUUGACUAUUGAUGAACUUUUAACGUUUGAUGGUUUGUAUAUAGAACAAACUCUUUCUAAAUUAAAUAGCGUUCCCAUACCUUGAGUGCUCUUAGUACAUCAUACAGUUCCAAUUUCUAUGUAGACCACUUUUGUCUUGAUUCUCCAAGCUUUUCACUGAAAAAUUCCAUAGGCUUUCCUUAUUGAGAUAGCACAACUCCGAUCCCUACAAUCGAUGCAUCAUAGUCAAGUUCGAACAGCUUGUCAAAGUUGGGUAAAGCAAGUGCAAGCAUUGUGCAUAGCUUCUCUUUGAUGAUUGAGAAACUUCACUCAACUUUGUCACCCUAGUUGAAUUUUUCCUUCUUCACACACUCGGUGAUUGGUGCCACGAUACUGUUGAAAUUCCAAAUGAACCUCCUGUAGAAAGUUGCUAACCCAUGAAAGCUUCUCACUUCUCCCACUUACUUGGGCGUUGGCCAUUCUCAGAUUACUCUCACAUUCUCUUCAUCCACUCGGAUUCCAUCGGCGCUGACUACGAGUCCGAGGAAAAGUAAUUGAUCCAUCGUGAAGUUACACUUCUUCAAGUUGAUAAACAACUUGUUGCCAUAGAGGACCUCAAGUGAUCCAUGUGAUCUGUCGGGUUGCAAUUGUAAAUAAGAAUAUCGUCGAAGUAAAUUACUACAAAUUUCCCGAUGAGAGGUUUUAGUACCUGGAUCCUAAGUCUCAUGAAUGUGCUAGGUGCAUUGGAUAGCUUGAAUGACAUCAUCAUCCACUUGUAAACCCCUUUCUUCGUUUUGAAUGUGGUUUUCUAUUCAUCUCUCGAUCAUAUACGGAUCUGGUGAUAUUCACUCCUCAAAUCAAUCUUCGAAAAGAUCUUAGCCCUAGAUAGCAUAUCAAACAUGUCACCUAUUGGGGGAAUAGGAAACCGAUACUUGAUCAUGAUCUUGUUUAUCGCCCGGCUAUCCUCGCACAUCUGCCAACUUUCAUCUUUCUUUGGUACUAGUAAGGCUAGUAUUGUGCAUGGACUCUUACUCUCUCUCAAGUGUUCCUUAUGAAUUAACCUUUCUACUUGCUCUUACAAAAUAAUAUUUGAUAAUAUGGAAUAGUUCGGAUUCUUCGGACAUGGUUUGGCAUGGCUCGGAUUCUCUUGGAAUGGCUCGAAUUCUUUGGACACGUGACUCGGGUAUACGUCUUGGGAAAAUGCUCAACUUUUUGAGACAAGAUGUCUUGGUCUCGGGAAAUAUUCUCGAAAAGUGUCCUACAUCAAGUGGUUGUGGGGUGGUUCGGCCAAUCACAGAUAUGGUCAAAGGGAGUUGACCAAUCUACCCCUUGCUGUGAGGGGAGUAGCCAUUGGGUGGUUCUGCCGCCCAACAAAUGACCAAGUGUCUACGCGAGGCUAUUUGGAGGUGGUUCGGCCUCCCAUCAUUUUUGAAAAGAAUUUUUUUUUUUUUUGAAUGGGUGGUCAAACUACCUCAAUUGCCAUGAGGUGGUGCGGCACCCAACAAAUGACCAUGGGUGUAGCCGAGGCCAUUAUUUGAGUGGUUCACUGACGCUGGAACAUUGUAUUUAUAUUUUAUUACUAUUAUUAUUAUUAUUAUUAUUAUUUUGAAUUUAUAAUGGUACUUUUGUCUUAUUGAAAAUGUAUUUAAGGUUUUUUUAAUUUUUUUUUUUUUUUUUCCUUUUUUGCUGGCUUUGGGGAUAUUGACAAAUUUUUUCAGUUUAGGAUGACACAUUAACUCGAUCAAUAGUUUGAGGGGGGUAUGCUUAAUUUUCAAAAUAAUAAUAAUAAUAAUAAUAAUAAUAAUAAUACUCACAUUAAUGACCACUACUUAUGAGUAGAUGAUAACAACUACUGAUGAGUAACUAUCAUCUACCUAUUGUUUGUUUGUUGGCGUCGAUAGUUUGCUCAUCUACGACUACUAGAGUUGUUAGUAAUGUGAGUUGAGUUUUUAUUUUUGUAUCAUCGCUCAUAAUUUAUCUGAAAUUGAUAAAAGAAAAAUUAAAACUCGAAUCAUCAGCAACUAUAUUAAAAACUAUUGUCGUCGUUGAAGAGCAACUAUUGGGAAGGCCAUGAAUAAACCAAUUGCUACAUGGGUGAGAAGUUUAUUAUGUGGGAGUAGCGUAUAAAUUCUGAUAAUGUAUUUGCAUGGAUUGUGAAGUUCAUUAAAUGGCUUAUGCGCAGGAGGGAGAAGCUUCAGAAACGCAUGUUUGUGCAGGUAGUCCUAUUGUUGCUGCUGCUAAUAGUGCUUUUGGGAACCACGAAGCAUCCUUUCUGAUUCCGAUGCAAACUGUAAAAUCUCUCAAGAUCCAACUACCAGUAUGAGGUGAAGCUUGAUGUCUAAGGGUGAUAUUUUGAUCGGCAUUAACGUCCUUUAUGUGUUCUCAAAAGCUGCUCCUCUUGGUCACAAGAUUGGGACAUUUGCUUCUGUGUUCAAGUGGAGAGCUAAGCUUCGGAAAAGCAUGUUGGUGCAGGUAGUCCCUAGUGCUGCCGCUGCUAAUAGUGCUUUGAGUGACCACGAAGCAUCAUUUCUGAUUCCGAUGAUAACAGUAAAAUCUCUCAAGAUCCAAGUACCAGUAUGAGGCCAAGCUUGAUGUCUAAAGGCGACAUUUUGACCGGCACUAACGUCCUUUAUGUGUUCUCAAAAGCUAGUCCUCUUUGUGCAAGAUCAGGCCAUUUGCUUUGUGUUCAGGGUAGUGGUGGUUGUAGUCUUUUGUCAUAAUCUUUGCUGGCGUAUAUAUGGAGAUGUCUCAAAUUUUGAGGCUACUUGGAGACCUUUUUGUGUAUAUAGUUGGUCGGUUCCCAAUAGGUUUUUUCUUAUUGGAAGAGUUUUGUUAGGUUUGUCAAUAAUAGUGAUUAUCCCCUGCCACUUGAACAGAAAUAAAGUAAUAUAUGCUUCGACUAUUGUUUUAUAUAAUAGCUUCACUUCUUGCG